GAGGAACGCAGCACUGCCCGUUGCCGCAGCCGCCGCGGCACUCCAGGCGCGGUACUUUGGAGGCAGUGGCACACGACGUGUACCCCUGCUGCUUACGGACCACCUCUCGAAUGACCUCUCCUUGGCAGAGAUUCUCUGACUAAUCUGUGAGUGUUGGAGCAGACACCUGCCAGCAGGACACUACCCCCCUGGACACAAAGGCCUUGGCUUUAAGGACACAACUCCAAAGGGCUGAAGUGAUUUAAUGAAAGGGACCGGCAAAUACCGUGCUUGCAGAUGUUACAGGAUUUGCAGCCAGGAAGGACUCCUAGUGACUGCUGUGGUAAAUCCUUGAAAUCCUGCAGCUCGUUAUUGAUGCGGACAUCGUGAAUACAUCCAUGAAAACCAUUUGGUGUCUUAUCUGCACCCUGGCGCAGCGAAGAUAAUCCAGUAGAGG